ensembl:lncRNA
AUCCCAGUGCCUCCCAGUAUAGCCCAGUACCUCCCAGUAUCACCCAGUGCCUCCCAGUUCGAUCUCAGUGCCUCCCAGUGCCUCUCAAUGGCUCCCAGUGCCUCCCAGUAUCACCUAGCAGCUCCCAGUUCUAUCCCAGUGCCUCCCAGUAUCGCCCAGUGGCUCCCAGUUCGAUCCCAGCGCCUCCCAGUAUCUCCCAGUGCCUCCCACUAUCGCUCAGUGGCUCCCAGUACAUCCCAGUACCUCCCAGUAUCACCCACUGGCUCCCAGCGCCUCCCAGUAUCGCCCAGUGCCUCCCAGUAUAUCCCAGUGCCUCUCAUUGUCUCCCAGUGGUACCCCAGUGCCUCCCAGUAUCACCCAGUGGCUCCCAGUUCGGUCCCAGUGCCUCCCAGUGGGAUCACAGCGCCUCCCAGUACAUCCCAGUGCCUCCCAGUAUCACCCAGUGGCUCCCAGUACAUCCCAGUGCCUCCCAGUAUCACCCAGUGGCUCCCAGUACAUCCCAGUGCCUCUCAUUGUCUCCCUGUGGGACCCCAGUGCCUCCCAGUAUCACCCAGUGGCUCCCAGUUCGGUCCCAGUGCCUCCCAGUGGGAUCACAGCGCCUCCCAGUACAUCCCAGUGCCUGCCAGUACCGCCCAGUGGCUCCCAGUACAUCCCAGUGCCUCCCAGUAUCGCCCAGUGGCUCCCAGUUCCAUCCCAGUGCCUCCCAGUAUCACCUAGCACCUCCCAGUUCUAUCCCAGUGCCUCCCAGUAUCGCCCAGUGGCUCCCAGUUCCAUCCCAGUGGCUCCCAGUAUCUCCCAGUGCCUCCCAGUAUCGCCCAGUGCCUCCCAGUAGCUCCCAGUGCCUCUCAGAGCCAUCCCAGUUCGAUCCCAGUGGCUCCCAGUAUCACCCAGUGCCUCCCAGUUCGAUCUCAGUGCCUCCCAGUGCCUCUCAAUGGCUCCCAGUGCUUCCCAGUAUCACCCAGUACCUCCCAGUAUCACCUAGCAGCUCCCAGUUCCAUCCCAGUGCCUCCCAGUAUCGCCCAGUGCCUCCCAGUUCGAUCCCAGCGCCUCCCAGUAUCUCCCAGUGCCUCUCAGAGCCAUCCCAGUACCUCCCAGUGUCACCCACUGGCUCCCAGUUCGAUCCCAGUGCCUCCCAGUAUCGCCCUGUGCCUCCCAGUACCUCCCAGUAUAGCCCAGUGCCUGCCGGUAUCACCCAGUGCCUCCCAGUGCCUCCCAGUAUCGCCCAGUGCCUCUCAGAGCCAUCCCAGUUCGAUCCCAGUGCCUCCCAGUACAUCCCAGUGCCUCUCAAUUUCUCCCAGCGCCUCCCAGCACCUCCCAGUUUGAUCCCAGUGCCUCCCAGUAUCGCCCAGUGGCUCCCAGUACAUCCCAGUGCCUCUCAAUAUCUCCCAGUGGGACCCCAGUGUCUCCCAGUACCGCCCAGUGGCUCCCAGAGCCUCCCAGUUCCAUCCCAGUACCUCCCAGUAUCACCCACUGGCUCCCAGUUCGAUCCCAGUGCCUCCCAGUAUCACCCAGUGCCUCUCACUGGGACCACAGCACCUCCCAGUAUCUCCCAGUGCCUCCCAGUACAUCCCAGUGCCUCUCAAUGUCUCCCAGUGCCUCCCAGUAUCGCCCAGUGGCUCCCAGUUCAAUCCCAGUGCCUCCCAGUACAUCCCAGUGCCUCCCAGUAUUGCCCAGUGGGACCCCAGUGGCUCCCAGUUCGAUCCCAGUGCCUCCCAGUAUCGCCCAGUGGCUCCCAGUUCCAUCCCAGCGCCUCCCAGUGCCUCUCAGAGCCAUCCCAGUUCGCUCCCAGUUCGCUCCCAGCGCCUCCCAGUAUCGCCCAGUUCCAUCCCAGUGCCUCCCAGUCCAGCCAGGAGGGCUCCCCAGUGCCCCCCCAGUUCACCACCCCAGUAUCUCCCAGCACAUCCAGGGAAGCUCUCAGCUCCCCCACAGCCGUCGGGGGGGCGUUCCCAGUGCCUCCCAGUAACUCCCAGUAUGCCCCAGUGCCCCCCCCCAAAUCAAUCACAGUCCCCAACAUGGCGGCGGUUCUCGCGAGAGCAGCACGUGAGGCCCCGCCCACGCCGCCCUUCCCGCCGCCGCCCCGCCAGCCAAUGGGAAAGCGGGAGGGCGGGGCUAGUCCGCGCGAUGACCCCGCCCCUAACCGCACCGCCAGCCAAUGGGAGAGCGGUGGGCGUGGCCACCGGCAGCUCCCCGCCCCGCCCACAGCCGAUGACCACGCCCCUUUCUCUAUUCCGACCAAUUGGAGCGAAGGGGGGGCGUGGUUAGAACCGCUCUCCCCGGCUCCAACAGGGCGUGACCACGCCCCUUCCGCCGACGCCGACCAAUGGGAGAGCGGGGAGGGCGGGACAACGCGAUGGCUCUGACCACGCCCCCCCCGAAGCCCCGCCCCUCGGUGCGUGCGCA